rnacentral:rRNA from 1 species
UACGUAGGGGGCAAGCGUUAUCCGGAUUUACUGGGUGUAAAGGGAGCGUAGACGGUGAUGCAAGUCAGAAGUGAAAGCCCGGGGCUCAACUCCGGGACUGCUUUUGAAACUGUGUGACUGGAGUGCAGGAGAGGUAAGCGGAAUUCCUGGUGUAGCGGUGAAAUGCGUAGAUAUCGCGCAGAACUCCGAUUGCGAAGGCAGCUUACCAGUCUGCGACUGACGCUCAGGCACGAAAGUGUGGGUAUCGAACAGG